rnacentral:lncRNA from 1 species
ACCGGUGACAAAAUUGAACCGGUGAGAUUCGGCUACCAACUACCUCUUUAUUAGUAGAGAUCCUUUUCCCCAAUGAACCAACCAGCACCAUGGACGCGUCCAGCUCUUGCAGGAGCCAGAUCCAACACCCGCAGUCUCCCUCCUGGUGAUCCAACCAGCGCCCGAUUGCUCCUCCCGCAGCGCGGACGCGCCCACCCAAGUGGAUGCCUAGCUGCUCCAGUAGCCAUGGUCAUGGCGCCCGAGCGUCCGUGCCUUCCCACGCCGUGCACUCUUGAGAGGAACUCCCUUGCUCCGGCUGGCCACCAACAACCUCGAGGGCAGUCCCUCAUGCCUCCUUCCCCUCUCCUUUCUCAUCCUCUUACUUCCUAUCUCUCCCUUUCUAUGAGCUCCCUAUCCCUCGUGCUUUCUUCUCGCAAGAGCCACUAGGGCUGACCGAAGCUUUGACCGCUCCUUCGCGAGGCUGCCGCCGCAUCUCCAGCCCUCGUCGCCGACCUGCAAGACGAGAAGAAGAAACAAGGACGUUGUCGCUUCAUGGAGCUUCCUAUGCUCAGAGCUUCAUACCCCUCACCCACGCUGGAUCCGCCUCCUCACGACCGGAUCCAGCGCCUCCAUGGCCCUGCCGGACCUCGACCCCCUCUGCCAGCGCCAUCCCCGUCCAGUUUCCUUGCGCCGCAGGUGUGUAGCCCCCAGAUCCGCCAUUGUUGUGUCGUUGCCUGCGUCUGUUCAUGGAGAAGAAGACUCAUUGAAACGUUAGUACUUAUUGCACUUAGCUGCUAGCACAUCAAAUGAGAAAGCAUAGCCGAGCUGGCUAGCACCGCUCGGUUACAUCCUAGAGAUCUCGGUUUUUGCCCUGUUUUUGUUGAUCUCGACUCGGCUGAAGUGCUACUUCAUCCACGAAGAAUCUUGUACAAUAUCAUAAAUAGAGAAACUAGCUUAGUUGGCUAGCGCAACAGGUCUUCAACUACGAGGUCCACGGACCAAAUCCCCGCGGCCUAUCUUUUAUUUUUACCUAGUGUAUUUUUUUGCACACACGCACUCUCAGCAGUUUUGGGCGAGACAUACUGCUAGGCUUGCGCAGUGCACAACAUUGAGCCUAUAUGUACUUUUUGGUUCGCUGCGAUUAAUCAAAUUGUUCACGAACUUCUAUAUGUACAAAAUGCCAUUAUUGUGCAUUGCUCAUAAAUCAUUAACCGUGCAUUGGAUCAAAUGAUUUAUAUAUGUUAAAUAAGUAGACUUUUAUGUAAAUUCACAAUUUCCGACUUUCAUUCAUGUUAAAAGUGAUUAACUCGCUGUUUGCAUUUAUUUUGUGCAAAUGCCAUGUUGAAAUGGUUUAUUUAAUUACUAUUGAACCGUAACUUCGAUUAAAAUAUUUUGUAUAUGAAACUUGCUUAAAAUAUCAUGUAGUUUCAUAAUAUCUUGUUGCAUCCAUGAUAUACCAUUCUUCUGGCUGUCAUUUGCAUACAUUUUACAUUCAUAACAUAUUAUCUUGUGAUGGUCAUAUCUUUUAGAUCAUAGCUUCGUUUUAAAUGAUCUAUAUAUGUAAAUCGACUAGAAUAACAUGAAGAAUCACAUGGUGUAAUUUAUUCUUCGACUUAAAUAAGUAUAAAAUAUGUUUAGCUUAGAUCUGGACCAAUUUCGAAAUUAACAUAUGUGACCCUUUCGGAAAUACUAUAAGUUGUUUCCGACCUCAUUUAAAAUGACUAGAUAGUGUAGUUUAUUUAUGCUUCACCUAUUGCCAUGUUUAACAAUAUUUAAACUUGUCGGGUAAAUAAAUGAGAGUGAACUAAAUGAUUCAAAUGUGGCAUUUUGUCAAUAUGCAACUCAUUGCAUGUUGAGCUCCACUUAAUGUGUAGAAGUUGAUUCUUGUGCUUUGUCGUGUCUUGCAUAAUUAAAAUGACAUGCAUCAUAAUUGCUUGCACAUCAUGUCAUGCAUAUGUUGUGGUGUUUAUCGUGUGUUAAUUGUUUGUUUUUGGAUUGUUUCUUCUCGAUAGAGUUUCAAAACCGCUUCGGAGUGUGAGAAUUUGUUCGUCUACGUUGGUUUGUCUACUUCACGGAUUCGUUCUCCUUCCAAGCGGGAUCUCAGGCAAGAUGAUCAUUUCCCUCGAUACCACUACUAUCAUUGAUUUGCUAGUUGUCUCGCUUCUAUCAUUAUGUCUCGCUGCCUACCACUUGUUAUGUCAAGCCUCCCAACAUUGCCAUAAAAAGCUUCUAACUCUCCACAUCUCAGCAAACCUUUGUUUGACCAUGUUACCGCUUGCUCAGUCCUUCUUAUAGCGUUGCUAGUUGCAGGUGCAAGUUACUUCCAUGUGAAAACAUGGCUUUAUUGAGAUAUCACAAUAUUAUUGCUAUUUAAUUUAAUGCACAUAUAUACUUGGUAAAAGGUGGAAGGCUUGGUCUUUUGGCUUGGUGCUUUGUUCCAUCUUUGUCGCCCUGGUUACUUGUGUAUCGGUGUUAUGUUGCAUACUGAGGGCUCCUAACAUGCUUGGGGUUGUUAUGGGGACCCUCUUGAUUUUCGUUUUGGGAAGAACUCUUAUGGGAAGGCCCAUCAUUGGUACUACAUUUGCCUAAUAACUAAUAAAAUUGCAUAGGGACUUUCCGGGCCUCAUGGAUAAUUAAUCAACAAGCCGUGCGAGUGAUCCUCAUGAGUGUUGGUCCAAACUAGAGUACUGCGCGGGGCCACCCCGGGGCAACUCGGGGGAUUUCUACUAGGCCACCGUACGCGUCGCUUAUGCGGUAGUGCCGUGAGAAAGAGAUACACACGAUUCCUAUUUGCAUCUGUCAUGCCAGACAGUCUUGCUAGAUUUGUUUUACUCUUAUCGAAAGUCUUGUGCACUCGGAUAUCGACGAUACCUCAGGCUACCUCGAGGUUGAGGUUUUCUCUCAAGGGCAGCUUGUGAUAGUUUGUGAUGACUAGUUGGAGCACCCCUGUAGGGUUAAAUAUUUCGGAAAGCCGUGUCCGCGGUUAUGUGGCAACGUGGAAACUUUGUUUAACACCCGGUUAUAGCAAACUUGAUGUAAACUCAAUUAAAUAUGCUAACUGUGUGCAUAACCGUGACUGUCUUUACUCGUGAGUUCUGCAUCGAAGAGAGGACAUGGUGGGGUUAUGUUUGACUCGUAAGUAGGUGUUCAAGAUCAUUUCUUGAUCAUUAUUAGUUCACGACCGUUUAUGCGUAGAUCACCCACCUUUUAUUCUUGUACUUGUAAGUUAGCAACUCAAAUAAAUUCUUAGUGCCUUUUGCACCCUCACCACUUAACCAUACCUCAUCCAUUAAGCUUUGCUAGUACGGUAUCUCUUGAAAUGAGAUUGUUGAGUGUGUGUGGCUCAUAGAUUACUACAACAACACUUGCAGGUACAGGUAAAGCGAUACUUUGACGUGAGCGCGAUGAUUGUUUUAUUUGGAAUUCUUGUUCUUUUUCUUCUUCUUCAUUGAUCAUAGGAUGGGUUUGAGGCCGGCAGCCUGGGAUAUCAAGGAUGGACGUCAUUUUAUUCGUUUGAUUUCAUCCGUAGUCGGACCCUGCUCUUCUGAAUGGUGAUUGAAUGUAUGUUUGUAUUGAUAUGAUCAUAAUUAGCUUGUGGCGAGUGUAAUCCAAUUCCAUAUACUCCUCUCUUCUGUACAUGUACUUGUAACGACAUCCAUUCUUAUGAAACGACGACAUGCACUUCUAUCACUGUCGAGGCCCUCGUGCCAAAAUUAGGAUUGCAUUGCAUCUGAGGCGUUACAAGUUGGUAUCAAAGCAGUGCCGACCUACGAGGCCCCUUGAUUGAUGAAACUUGGCCGAGUCGAGUCUAGUGAAAACUACUUUGACUCUAGUUAUUUAUCGGAGAGUAGGAUUCUUUUUACUCCUUUUCUAUGCUCUCGUGUGGAAUCUUGAUGUAGAAAUUUUAAUUCUACUUCGCUUCUCACUCAAUUUUUUUAGGAUCACACGGGUAUUUUGGAGCCUCUAUGAUGUCGAUGUGAUGGAAUUCUGUACUUGGUGCCUCCUGUUUCCGAGGAGUAGAGCUCCAAGGGGUUUUCGACACAUCGCUAUCGUUGAGCUUCCUUAGUAUCUCAGGAACAUCGAAAUGCUUCAUUACUUUGCUUGGUGGCAAAUAGUGUUGUGACUUUCCCCAGUACUGGUGGAGAUAGCUCGGAUGAUCUAACAUGUCUAGUAUCAUUGUUUUUCGAAGGUCUGAGGUAAAUGAGUUUGCGGAACUUGUCGGAUAUGUGUUGAGGAUUGCGGGUGCGGUUUUGCAGCUGAUUACAUUGAGUAGGUUCCUGGACCCACAACCUGAUAGCAUAACCAAGAAAUAUUUUGGAAGUUCUCAGGUGGGAAUUCAAGUAGUUACCUAGGAUUAUCCUUCCAACAAAUGAAUGGUUGGUGAUGUAUUUGUUUCCGGCUUAUUCUGCAAGCCUCAUCCUUUGUUUUGUUGGAGUGUGGUAAUUCGAGUUGCUUCAAUGUUAAGUGUCGAUUUCGUAUCAUUUCUAAGUGGUGUUCUCGUAUUUCUAUGAGAGCGCUACUCUUUUGCUCAAAUCAAAUUGUCAUGUUAAUUCUUUUCAACCAGUGUGCUUCUCUUCAAGUAAUUCAAUCUUUUUCAAUAUUUGCAACAUCCAUCCUCGUAUUUCUUUCCGGAGUUCGUCUCAUAUGGCCCAAGUUGUCUUUUUUCCCACCGUUCCGCCCUUUUCCUUCAAUGAUCAAAUCAUCAUCCAAGUGCAUUUACUUCCAUUUAUGAUUCCUCUAUCUUCUCUUCCAUAUUUUAUUCGGUGGUUCAUUGUGAAGAUGCUCGGGUGUUAAGUUCAUCAUUCUUCAUUCUUUUUUCCUUCUCCUUGCAUUCAAUCCAAUCUCCCAGUGUUCUUCAUAUCCUUUUCAUUCAUUAAAUGUUUUUCCAUAUUGGAACUUCUUAUCCGAGCCUCUGUUAUUCAUUCAUCCCUCUCUAUUCUAUCAGGAGUGCUGAAGACAUCUCAGAAGAUUCGUGUUUUCAUUCAAUCAUUUCAAUUAUUCGAGGUUCUCACCUCUUCAAGUUUUCAUUUACACCGGUGCAAUCAAUGUUUCUUAGCAAUCUUUUCAACAAUGUUAUCUUUGAGUGGGCCCAUAACCCACAUGUUUUCCCAGGAUCAUACCUGGCUCUUCUAAUCUUUCCACAGAUCUCAAGUUCCUUGCUAAUAUGAAGUAAGCAUGAAUAUCUCAGUCAUAUUCCUUCUUCAAGAUUGCUUCGAAAUAUGUUUCAUCAUUGGCUCAACCUUUCUUUAAUUCAUUGCACCGGAGUGUCUCAAGAUUUUGGUGUUGUUCCUUCUCAACAUUCUAUGCAAUGAUGACUGAAGAACAGUUUCUCUUAAACCUCAAUCCAUUCGUUUGAAGAUUCCUGGUGUCAGCUUCGUGCUAUCAUCUUGAUUUGUUUCCAACUAUGAGGAAUUCCUUCCAUAUCUAUCCAGUGCAUUUCCGUGUUAUUUUUAUUUCGGCCCUCUAAAAACCAUCAUUUUAGAAGAUUUCUUCGUUCUCAGCAUUUAGCUUUCAUUCUCAAAUUCUUUUCAAUUCUUGUCCCUUCGUUCGUAUCUCAAUUCUUACGAGUGCCUUGCUUAAAUUUUUCUGCUAGGCGAAUCAUGCUCUCUUUGUCCGCUUGUAUCCUAGUUCAUUUGUAUUAUCCUCUUCCAUUCCACAUUCUUCCGGUGUUGCGUUUAAGACUUCUUCAAGUUCAUGGUGUUCUCUCUUCAAUCUUUUCGAGAAGAAUAAGUGGUAUGCUAAGCAGAACAUAAUUCUUAUUCUUGUUUAUCAAGUGAUUUCAAUCCUUCUUGAGGAGUUUCAUGAUAUCAAUUUCUUUAUACCAAGUGUUCUCAUCUUUUAUUUUCUGAGGUUCCAAGUUUUUUGUCAAGUAUCUCUUCGCGAAGUUCCAUCUAAAUCUUCGCAAGGACAAUCUUAGUCUUUUCAACCUUUAUUUCUUUUCAUCAUUCUUUUGUAUAUGUAGGCUCUUCAAGGUGGUUCAUUAAGAAUGUAAUUCUUUUUGAAAUAUUCUUCAAGAUUCUUAUGGUAGUACCUCAAGUAUUCUUUAUCUUGCAUUUCAAAGAGCAAUUCUUCCUCUAUUUUCCUUUGAGGUGAUGUUAUAGCAUUCUUGAUCCAUGAGGACUUUUGAAGAUAAUUUGUUUCAAGAAUGAGAUAUUUAAACCCACCAAUUUCUUCGAUCAUGAGAUAUUUUCAACCCAUGAUUUCUUCAUUAUAGCUAUCUCAGAUUGGAUUUCACCUACAAUUGUUCCUAAGGGUUAUUGAUAUUAUGGUUAUUAUCGUUGAUCCAAGUAUUCCCUUAUCUUCUUGAUGAAAUAAAUUUUGCAUAUCAUGUUGCUCCCAAGCAAUCAUUGCUUUCCACUUGUGGCCGGUUGUCACCUCAUAAUUUUGAGAUGUUUUACAUAAGCCCACAACAAGCUUGUUCUUUUCGUUGUUGAUUUUCCAACAAUUCCAUUCAAUUCUUUUUGUAAGGAUGCUUUUCAAAUUCAAUUAUGGUAGAAGUAUCAUUUUCUCCUCCGUCAAAUGAUCUAGUUUCUAUUUGUUUGCUCCAGAGGCUUUGUGAUGUUGCUCUCUUUCAUCCAUUAUCUUGUUUUAUCAAGAUCAUGUUAUUCCGUUGCUUGCCCAUUUAAUCGGUGUGUUGUGUCUUCAUUUCAAGAUCUUCCUUAUUAUCCAGUUUUGUCUCUAUUUCCUACCGAAGUGUUGUCCUAAUUUCUUUUGAAUUCUUGCUUAUUCCUCAUGUCAUUCUUCAUCUCGUUGAAACCUUCAAGGAUCGUUGGUUUCACUCGUUUGUCAAAGAAGCAACUAAGUUUUACCUCGUCCUAUUCUCUUCCUUGUCCUCUUCUCAUUCCUAGAUAUCGGGUCAAGAUCUCUUGUUAGUGGAGGAGAGUUGUAACAGCCUCGAACCGACGCUCCAGAAGAUUCCCCUUUUAUUCCAUUGUCGUCGUGUGAUUCUUUCGUUUGUUCCAUUCAUCAUCGCAUCAUGCACAUCAUAUAUAUAGCAUUAGCACUCCGUUACUGUCAUUUUUUAAACCAAGCAUCCGUUAUUAGUUUCUGGUUCUCUUUGAUAUAUCCGUUGGCCAUUUCAAGACGAACCACACACACACGCGCUUGUGGCAUCGAUAAAAUAUUGUUUUCUAAAAGUGUGUAUAAAACUUUCUCGGAAUGGCUUGAGAGUUUGUGUGCGGUCUUAUUUUAAUGCAGGUAGACCGCCUGCGAAAUUUCGUCGUAGUCGGAGGUCGUUUGAUACCCCAAUGGAUAACUAUAGCGGCACUAGUAGUCGUUUUAAUUCUCGGACGUUUUUGGUUUUAAGAACUUGGUGUGGGCCUGCAAACCUCCCUCUCUUCUCAACCCAAGGCACUCCACACAACCCAUAGAACCACCUAAGUCUAACCCUUUACUCGGAGCAGUUCGAUCGCGAUUCGACGUCUAAAAAUUGUUCCAAAGGCCUCCACUUUUCUUAUAUAUAGACCAUCCCACCUAGACAAACCCUAAAAUAUAGGGACAAUGUUCCAUCCCCGCCGCCAACCAGCCAUUGUAUUUAUGGGAUCCUUCUCGAUCCACCCACCCAUUCCCAUUAUUUUCCCCGAUGAAUCAACCACGCCAUGGACGCUCCCAGCUCUUGCAAGAGCUAGAUCCAACACCGACAGUUUACCUCUCCCGAUCCAACGAGUGCAUGUUUUCUCCUCCCGCAGCAUGAACGCACCCACCCGACUGGAUCUCUAGCUGCUCCAGUAGCCGUGGUCAUGGAACCCGAGCGUCCGUGCCUUCACGAACUGUGCACUCGCGUGAGGAACUCCCCUGCUCCGGCUGGCCACCGACAACCUCUAGGCAAGUCUCUCGUGCCUCCUUCCCCUCUCCUUUCUCCUGCUCCUCCUUCCUCUCUCUCCCUUUCUAUGAGCUCCCUAUCCCUCGUGCUUUCUUCACGCAAGAGCCACUAGGGCUGACCGAAGCUUUGACCGCUGCUUCGCGUGGUUGCCGCCGCGUCUCCAACCCUCGUCGCCGACCUGCAGGACCAGCACAACGAACAAGGCCGUCGUCGCUCCAUGGAGCUUCCUAUGCUUAGAGAUUCACCCCCUCGCCCACGCCAGAUCCACCUUCUCACGAUCGGACCCAGUGCCGCCAUGGCCCUGCCGGACCUCGACCCCCUCUACCAGCGUGAGCGGCGUGUGAUUUCCGUGCGCCGGACGUGUGUAGCCCCCAUAUCUGCCAUUGUUCUGUCGUCGCUUGCAUGUGUUCCUGGAGAAGAAGACCCAUCAAAAUGUUAGUACUUAUUGGACUUAGCUGCUAGCACAUCAAAUUAGAAAGCACAAUCGAGAUGGCUAGCACCGCUUGGUUACAUCCCAAAGAUCUGGGGUUUGAAUCCAAGGUGUGCCAAUUUACUUUUUGCCAUGUUUUUGUUGAUGUGCACCGUGCCGAAGUGCUACUUCAUCCACGAAUAAUCGUGUACAGUAUCAUAAACAAAGAAACUAGCUUAGUUGGCUAGCAUAGCAGGUCUUCAACUACGAGGUCAAGAGAUCAAAUCCCCACGACCUAUCUUUUAUUUCUACCUUGUGUACUUUUUUUGCACACACGCACUCUCAGUCAUUUUGGGCCAGAUAUAUUCCUAGGCUAGCGUGUUAGGGCAUAUUUGUGCCUAAGUGAUUUUGGUGAUUGAUGACAGUACCUUAGUGGACUAAUCGUGUGCAUUGAGCAUUUCAGAUAAUACAUGACAAAGGCACAAGACGAUUCGGCACCCCUCCGUGGAAUAGAAGCACGAUGUCUUCUGCAAUUUUCUUUGGUGGUUUUGAGUCGUAGGAACGCCGUUCUAUUAAGAGGGGAUUCGUGUCGGAAAGGUUUGGAUGGAAUCAAUCUCGCAUGCACACAUUUUAUCUCCAUCUCUUUUCCCUUGCAACUACGGAGCUUGUUCCCUCUCUGUUCUUUCUCUCUAUCUUGCAAAAAGACCUCUGGCGGUAGUACCGCUGGAGGUGAGCGGUAGUACCGCUCUGGUCCUAGCGGUAGUACCGCUGGAGCUGGCGGUAGUACCGCCCCAGUCUGGCGGUAGUACCGCUAGCUGGCGGUAGUACCGCCCCUGGCCAGCGGUAGUACCGCUCCAAGACUGUAGUACCGCCAUCCUUGCGGCUGUACUGCGUCGCACAUUUUGCGAAGACUUUCUUGGCAGUGGUAGGCCUGGUAGUAGCCCUUCCGCUACCAUGGGCUCAGCGGUAGUGCCGCUCUGUUCCUGGCGGUAGUACCGCUGGAGCUGGCGGUAGUACCGCUGGAGGGGCAGCGGUAGUACCGCCCUGCUCGUGCUGAGAGUGAGGGUAACGGUUGGUUUUGUUCCCUCACUAUAUAAAGGGUUCUUCCACUUCAAGAACCCUACCUUUGACCCUCCAAGACUCCAUUGUUGCUCCCUAAGCUCAUAAGUGUCCGAUCUCUCUCUAGGGAUUGGUGGAGAAGGCCUAGAUCUACACUUCCACCAAGAGAAAUUUGAUUCCCCCCACUAAUCCCUUGCGGAUCUUGUUACUCUUGGGUGUUUGAGCACCCUAGAUGGUUGAGGUCACCUCGGAGCCACAUUCCAUUGUGGUGAAGCUCCGUGGCCUUGUUGGGAGCCUCCAAGCUUUGUGUGGAGUUAGCCCCAACCUUGGCAGUAAAGGUUCGGUCGCUGCCUUCAAGAGCACCUAUAGUGGAAUCACGACACCUUGCAUUGUGUGAGGGCGUGAGGAGAAUACGGUGGCCCUAGUGGCUUAUUGGGGAGCAUUUUGCCUCCACACCACUCCAACGGGGACGUACUUCCUGUCAAAGGGAAGGAACUUCGGUAACACAUCCUCGUCUUCAUCGGUUCCACUUAUGGUUAUCUCUAACCUUUACAUUGUGUAUAUUAUUGUUGUAGAUUAUUUCUUACUUGCCUUAUAGAUUAUAGUUGGUAGCAUCAUAUAGGUUGCUCACCUAGUUGUCAUUUUAGAGAACCUUUAUGUUGCUAACCCUAACUUGUUAAGAAUUGUUAUAAAGUGGUAGUUGCCUAUUCACCCCCCUCUAGUCAACCAUAUCGAUCCUUUCAAUUGGUAUUAGAGCCACGUCUCUUUAUUAAGGGUUUCACCGGCCGAAGAGUAUGGAUGAGGAUGAGGGAGGAACCCAUGGACAACCCGAGGCCAUGGCCUUGACUUCGAUCACCAGGCAUGACUUGAAUGCGGCUAUGGCCAACCUUAGGACGUCCUUGAUGAACGAAGUCAAGACCAUGCUUAAAGAGUUAAUUGAGGGAAUUAAAAGUUCUCCCGAAUCGGCGUUGGUGGCUAAACCUGUCAACACGGAUUCGGAGGCCAAUUCCUCCAAGGAAGCGGCUAAAGCUAUGCAACCUUCUUCCCCUCACUAUAUUAAUGGGACUGGAACCUAUACCUCACUUCCACCUCCCAUGGUUUAUGGAGGGCCGGUUCCUACUCCGCGUAUUAAUGUUGUAGGUCCUCCUCCUAAGCUUGUUAAGGGUGUUUUUUCUAACUGGGUAUUUUCCAUUAAGUCUUGUUUGAAGCACAACUCAACAAAUUUAUGGAGAAUCAUUGAGCAAGGCUACUAUCCACAUGACCCAAGCAACCUCACUCCAAGAAAAGAAGCGGACAAUCAAUAUAAUCACUCCGCAUUGUUUAUUCUCCAGUCCACAGUGCCUCCUAAAGAUCUUCCUCACUUGCGCCUCUUCACUCUGGCUAAGGACUGUUGGGAGCACAUUAUGGUGAUGUACAAGGGAAGCUCAAGCAUUCAAUGGUCCAACUAUGAAGUGGUGCUUGAUGAUGCUGAUGAGUUUGUGAUGAAGGAAGAUGAGGACCCUCGUGAUCUCUAUCGAAGGGUGAAUGCUAUUGCUACUUCUCUCAAGGAUCUUGGGAGCAAGGAUGUGGAUGACACAUGGCUCAAACGCAAGUUUCUCAAGGCCAUCAUGCCAUUUAGCAAGGCCAUGUCAUCCGUCAUUCGCCAACGACCAGAUUUCCACUCCUUGUCCCCCAGUGAGGUGUUGGAUGAAUUCAUUGCAAUGUCAAUCAUGAACAAGACCGCUGAUAAUGCACUUGCUCGCGUUCGGUCAAAGACAGCUUCACCCAACCUUGAUUUAAAAGCAAAGGCUGCUUCUGAAGAAGAAGAAGAGGAUGAGGAAGAGGAGAGAUCCCUAAAGACACUAAGUAUGCUUAUCACGAGCACAUGGCUCUUGCGUCAAGGCAAUUCUGGGGCAACAAGAGAAACUCAAGGCCCAACUUCUCCAAGAAUAACUCAAGUGGGUUCAAGACCAAGCAAAGUGUGAGGACAUGCUAUAACUCCGGCAAUGUGAGUCACUUCAUGGUAGAAUGUCCCUAUGAGAAGAGGGAAGAGAACGGGGGCAAGCUCAUUCGCAAAGACAAAGCCAAGUCUUUCCCAAACAAGAACAACUUUGUCAAGAAACCCCAUCCAAAGGGUAUGGUGGCACUUGAAGAGUACCCCUCCGAUGAUGAUGACGAUGAUGAUAUGGUGGCAACUGUGACUGUAGCCAUUGCCACCGCUUCUCCCAAGAUGUCUCUCUUCAAUGCCCCCAACGAUAACCGCAUCGCCAAGUGCCUUAUGGCCAAAGGUAUCGAUCAGGUAACAUCCAACAUUAAGACCACCAUCACUACUGCUCCUUCAUUGUUAAAUUGUGUUGAUAAUAGUGAUGUUGUGGAACUUAAUGAUCAUGAUUUUGACAAAUUUCUGUGUGAAAUCAAAGGAGAAUCCAAGAAGCACUUUUUUGCUCUUUUGGAACAACUGGGUGAGGCUAAUGACCUCAUCAAGUCUCAUGAGGAGACUAUCUCCGAGCUGCAAGGACAUAGUCGUGACUAUGCCGAUGAGAUUGCUGAAUUAUCUAUUGCUCUAGAAAAAGAGCGCAUUCUUCAUUUGGCUCUUGAGGAGUCACACAACGAUGAUUGCGCUAAAUUGCAAAAGGAGCUAGAUCAUGCUAUUGUUCUUACUCGUGUGUUUAAGUCUGAAAAGGCUGCACUUGGGGUUGGGCAUGAUAGACUCAAAGCGGAGUUUGAUACACUUGACAACGCUCACAAGGUCUUGAAAGGUGCUCAUUUCUCCCUGAAAGAGUCUCAUGAUCAACUCCAAGCAAAGCUUACCAAGGAGAUCUCUACUUGUCCUCCUUUCGUUAUAAUUGAUAAUGCUUGUACACCUAACCCUUGUUGUGAGCAUGUACAUCUUGUGGAGGAAAAUGCCAAGUUGAAGAAUCAACUUGAGAAGAGCCUUGUGUCAUGCAUCCAAGGCGAGAAGAACCUAAACGACCUUUUGAGCAAUCAAAAGGGUGUUGUAGGAAAGGAGGGACUUGGACUUACAUCCAAGUCGAAAAGGAAAAGGAAGAACAGGAACAAACGAUCCCCUACCCUCAUGGACAUCUUUGUCAAAGAGGGCAAAGGGACUCAGAAGGAGAAUGGGAACAAGGUGGAGAAUGGUAGCAUCAAGAAGGGCAAAACCAUUCCUACCAACACAGCCGACAAACUCAAUCUAUCCUAUGUUUUAUGUCAUGCUGGUGAUGGGCAUGUGUAUGCCAGAUUUGUUGGUUCUUACUAUGAGUCCAUUGAAUGGGCUAUUUGGGUUCCUAAGACCCUUGUCUCUAACAUUAAAGGACCCAUUAAAAAAUGGGUACCAAAAACCAAGCCUUGAUCUAUUGUAGGAGUUUGCUUCCGGUGGGGUGUCAUGGCUGCUCGAUAGUGGAGCAACAAAUCGUAUGACCGGAAGCAAGGACUUAGUGGUGGAUGUGAAUCCUUCCCCAUCUAUGCACACCCAUGUCCAAUUCACUGAUGCAUCAACGUCCAAGGUAUCGGGAUUUGAUAAGGUGGUCAUCUCUCAAGAGUUAUGUAUUGAGAAGGUCAUGCUUGUUGAGUCCCUUGCUUACAAUUUACUUUCGGUUCGUCAACUUGCAAUUAUGGGCUUGGCCAUAUUCUUUAAUCUUGAUACCGUGGUCCUUUUGUGAGCAAGACUCUUAAAGUAGCCUAUGUUGGAUAUGUCGAAAAUGGUCUCUAUGUGGUGAACUUUUCACAGCGACCCACUAAGGCUGCGGCUUGUCUAAUGGCUAAAGUUGAUGUGGGCUGGCUUUGGCAUCGCCGACUAGCUCAUGUCAAUAUGAGAUCUUUGCAAAGUCUCCUCAAAGGGGACCAUGUUCGUGGACUAACAAAUGUGAGUUUUGCCAGAGAUCGUGCUUGCAGUGCCUGUAUUGAAGGGAAGAUUCAUGAAACUGCUCAUCGUCCAACGACUCUCAUUUACACUAAGAGGCCGUUGGAGCUCCUUCAUAUGGAUCUCUUCGGUGCCCCAUCAUUUGAUAGUCUUGGGGGCAGAAAGUAAUGCUUGGUGAUUGUUGAUGAUUACUUAAGAUACACCUGGGUAUAUUUCUUCAAGAGGAAGAGUGAGACUCAACAAACUGUCAUCAACUAUGCUAAUGAAGCUCAACGAAAACAUGAAGCAAAGAUUUUGAUGAUUAGAAGUGACAACGGCACCGAGUUCAAGAACUACACCUUGGAUGAGUUUCUUAGUGAUGAGGGAAUCAAACUUCAAUAUUCAGCACCAUACACCCCUCAAUAAAAUGGUGUGGCGGAAAGGAAGAACCGGACGUUGAUGGACGCGACAAGAACAAUUAUGGCGGAAUUCAAAUCUCCAUAUAACUUUUGGGCCAAAGCCAUCAACACAUGAUGUCAUGCAUCCAAUCGGCUCUAUAUCCGCAAAGGCUUGAACAAGACCCCAUAUGAGAUUCUCACCGGAAACAAACCCAAUCUCAAGUACUUCCGGGUAUUCGGGAGUAAGUGUUUCAUUGUCAAGAAAGGUGCACGUUUAGCUAAAUUUGAUUCUAGAGAUCAAGAGGGCAUCUUUGUUGGUCAUCCUACAAACUCUCAUGCUUACCGUGUCCUCAACAAGUCGGCUGAACCGUGUAACGUGGAGUUUGAUGAAAAUAAUGGCUCCCAAGUGGAGCAAAGUGGUCUCUGUGAUGUAGGUGAUGAAAUUCCUCCCCAAGCCAUAAGAAGAAUGGGGAUUGGUCAAAUACUCCCCAUUGAGGAACCCCUUGUGGCCAAAGGAGAAGGAGAAUGCUCGACUCAAGUGGAGCCAUCACCCUCUCAAGCCCCACACACUUCCGAUGAACAAAGAGAAAACCCUCAACCAACUGAAUAGGUUCAAGGACAAGAUCAAUCGCUCAAAGAUGGUGAUGUGCCACAUGAUGUCCAAGUGCUUACACAAGGUUCCUAAUCUGCUCAAGAUCAAGAUCAAGUGCAGCUACAAGAUCCAGAUCAAAUGCAGGCACAAGAUCAGGAUCAAGAGCAACCACAAGAUCAAGAACAAACCAGUGAGCCUGCUCAAGUCGAAAAUCAAGUUGAUCAGGAAGUUGUGUCUCAAUUUCCUUCUGCAGCACCUAAGAGGGGUAUCGGUGCCAAGGGAGGAUCAAAACGCAAGGCCAAGCAAAGUAAUCAAGUUGAUGCUCCCCAGUUAUCAAGUGUAGAACUCUUGGAGCGUCGCGCAACCAAGAUUGCAAACAUGCUAAGAGUCAAGUCACAUCUUAUGAAGAACGUGCUUGGUAGUUUAAAAAGGGGAGUAUCCACUCAUCAACAAAUUUCAAAUUAUUGUGAGCAUCACGCGUUUGUUUCGUAUUGUGAACCUCAACAGGUACAGGAAGAGCUCGAUGAUGAGGAUUGGCUUAUGGCCAUGCAUGAAGAACUCAACAACUUCGAGCGUAAUCAAGUCUGGAAAUUAGUGCCAAGACCAAAGGAGGAACAUAAUGUCAUCGGGACCAAAUGGAUCUUAAAGAACAAGCAAGAUGCCAAUGGGAUUGUGGUUCUAAACAAGUCAAAAUUGGUGGCUCAAGGCUACUCCCAAGUCGAGGGUAUCGACUAGGUGAAACCUUUGCCCCCGUUGCUCGUCUAGAAUCUAUCCGCAUGCUGCUUGCAUUUGCUUCUCAUCAUAAUUUCAAAUUACAACAAAUGGAUGUAAAAAGUGCUUUUCUUAAUGGUCCUUUAAAUGAGUUGGUUUAUGUCAAACAACCCCCGGGAUUCGAACAUCCCAAGCUCCCCAAUCAUGUAUACAAACUUAAUAAGGCACUCUAUGGCCUUAAACAAGCCCCACAUGUGUGGUACGAGUACCUUACUAAGUUGUUACAAGAUCGUGGGUUUGAAAUUGGGAAGAUAGAUCCCACUCUUUUUACCAAGAAGGUCAAAGGGGAUUUGUUCAUAUGCCAAAUAUAUGUUGAUGAUAUCAUUUUUAGUUCCCCUAACGAAUCUUUCAAUGAAGAAUUUGCUGCACUAAUGACCGAGAAAUUUGAGAUGUCAAUGAUGGAUGAGUUGAAGUUCUUCCUUGGGUUUGAGAUUAAACAAGGUUUAGAAGGGACCUUCAUCAAACGAGCCAAGUACACCCAAGACAUGCUCAAGAGGUCCGAGCUAGAGGAUGUCAAGCCGGUCAAGUUUCCCAUGCCAACCGGAUGCAAGCUUGACAGUGAUCCCAAUGAAAGAAGUGGAUCAAAAAGGUAUAUCGCUCCAUGAUUGGAUCCCUUCUUUACCUUUGUGCAUCUAGACCGGAUAUCUUGUUGACUGUAGGGAUAUGUGCACGGUUUCAAUCUGCACCAAAAGAAAGCCAUUAUAUGGCUGUUAAGCGAAUCUUUCGAUAUUUGGCUCAUACCCCAAACUUUGGCCUAUGGUAUCCCAAAGGAGCAAACUUCAACCUAGUGGGCUAUUCUGAUUCAGAUUGGGCGGGAGACUAUGUGGACAGGAAGUCAACUUCUGGAGGAUGUCAAUUUCUUGGUCGUUCACUGGUAAGUUGGUCUUCAAAGAAGCAGAACUGUGUCUCACUGUCUUCCACCGAAGCUGAGUAUGUUGCAGCUGUGAGUUGUUGUGCACAGUUGCUAUGGAUGAGGCAAACUUUAAAGGAUUACGGUGUCACUUGUGACAAAGUGCCUCUUCUAUGUGACAAUCAAAGUGCUAUCAAGAUUUCCCUCAAUCCGGUGCAACAUAGAAAGACCAAGCACAUUGAUAUUCGCCAUCACUUCAUUCGUGAGCAUAUCAAGCGUGGUGACAUUGAGGUUCACUUCAUCAACACUGAAGAGCAACUUGCAGAUAUUUUCACUAAGCCCCUAGAUGAAGCAAGGUUCCGGGAGUUAAGGCAUGAGCCUAAUAUCAUUGAUUCAAGUAAUGUAGAUUGAAACUAGGCACUUUGCACAUCACUCCGCAUUAUAUCUUGCUCUAGGUGUAGGCAUGGACAUAGGGGGAGUGUUAUUCUCUCAAUGAACUUUCCCUCCCCCCAUUAUGCAUAAAUCGAUCAAGUCUUUCACUUUGGCCAUUAUUAAAUGGCACUUGUGCUUCAAAGACGAGCGUUGGUCAUGAACCCAAGGAUAAUUCUUCGCGGUGUCAUACCUUUGUCUCAAACAUAGGUGGCUCCGGCCAUCGCCCACCUUUACCUCUCGUUGAAGAAAGGUUACAAAAUGACUAGUCAGCAUAUUUUGCUUGUGUUUUCUCUUCCUCUACACUGACUAGUCGUUGCGCACAACAUUUUUCACAUUAUUCUAAGUCUCAAUGUGUUUUUCUAGAGUGGUACUACCGCCAGGACCCCAGCGGUACUACCGUCGUGGGAUCGGUACUACUGCAAUGAGCAACCGAUCCUAGGGAUAUGUUCAAUCACAUUUAGGGUUGUCUCAAGGGGGAGUGGUACUACCGCCAGGGGAAGCGGUACUACCGCUAUGACCCCAGCGGUACUACCACCAGGGGAGAGGUACUACCGCUAUGACCCCAGCGGUACUACCGCCCCGCCCGUGCCCUAAGGGCUAUUGUCACACCCUGUUUUUGGCUUCCCUGACUAAUUAACUUACUUCAAAAUUUAGGACCAAUUAAAAUUUUUGUGAAUGCUUGUGAUGCUUGGAGUGACUAUUGUCUGGCUGUUUGUUUAAAUGCAUGUGAUUGAUCCCCAUUAAUUCUUGCCAUCCUCCUAAUCACCUCCUCACUCCAUGAUCUCCUGCCUAAUGAUCAUACCAUGUGUUUAGAACAAAUAUCUAUUUUUACCAAAUAUUAUUUUCACCAAAAAACUUUUCUUUGAAUUAAACUUUCAAGCCCCUGAGAUGAGGUUUGUACUACAAGUCCUCAAAUUAGGGAGUUUCUUUUGCACCAAUUGUUUUAUUUAAAACCAUUAUCAAAAUGACUUUCAAAAACCACCAUAUUAUUAUUUUAAAAGUUAUUUUAUUAUUUUAUUUAAAAGCCCUUCUGUGAGGCCAGAAAUGGUCUCCUAUGAAGGAAAUUUAUUUUUAUUGCCUUCAAAAUAUUUAAGAAAAUUUAGGAAAACUCAGUGGAUAUAUUUAUUCAAUAUUUAUGAGUUUCAACACAUGGUCAUGUUUAAAAUAUUGGGCAAACCCCUCCAAAACCAUUCCUGCCUAUUUCAAGCUUUUGGAAUAUUUCUAUAAGAAAUAUUGUCAAUAAAUUCCAGUAAAAUUCUGGCAUGUCAUCUAUGAUAUUCUUGAUGAUCUUGCCAAGUUUAAUUUCAAUCCAAGUUGAUUUGACUCCCCUAAUCACUCUAAAACCCUGUCUGCCCAGAAUCAAAUUUGAGCAACUUUACAUUGUGAAGUGUCUCAAAUUGUGCUCAAAUUUGGUGAACAUGUUCCAGUACUCCAAUGAGGCAUCCACACCAAGUGGUACACCAAGGAGAAUAGAGGAACUUGUCCUAAGACCCUCAAAACCCUCUUUGUUGAUUUUUGACUUUGGUAAACUUUACAUUAUAAAGUUUCUCCAAUUGACCUCAAACUUUUUGUGCAUGCCUUAAUGCUCAAAUAAUGCCCCUACACCAAAUAUUGGAUUUGUGGGAAUUUAUUUGAAUAGGGUUCUAAGCAGAAACCCAUUUCUGCCCCUUUCUAGGGUUUUUCAAGUCUACAUUGGAAAACUCCUCCAGCAAAUCCCAAAUUUGGUGUGCAAGCCUAUUUUCAUAUAUUAUUUGACCCUGUUAAGUUUCAUAGCCAUUGGAAUUCAUAUGAUAGCCUAACCACAGAUCAAACACCUUGUGUGCACUCACUAAUUUGGUUUCAUUUGCCCCUUGCACUUUAUUCCUUGAGCCCAAAUUUCUACCAUAGACUCACAUAGUUACAUUUCACCUCCAGUAACAUUCCCAUGGCCACUGGUCAAUUAUUGGAGAAGGUCCCUUUGUAACUUUCUCUCAUUUUUACCCUUGGCAGCACUGUUUUACCCUUCCUUCCAUUCUUCUGCUUAAUCUAUCACCCCAACUCUUUCCAGAGCAUCUAAUAUAUGCCAAGGCUUCAUUUAGAACCAAGAUAUGGCAUGCUCAUGUGGAGAAAAUGAGCAGCACCUCUUCAAGUUCAUUUCUGGCUGAAAAUAGCUUUGUACAGCAAGUGCUAGCUACACUUCUUUUCUUGAGCUCAAUUUUUGCACACGUGUAGUCCUUCCAUACCAGAUGCUCGAGGACAUGGUUUCACCUCCCCUCUCUGCCUGUGAAAACCAUUUGUAUCAGCCCCUAGUUUCCUGCUNNNNNNNNNNNNNNNNNNNNNNNNNNNNNNNNNNNNNNNNNNCUGCUGAAAUGUUCACAUCAGUCAAACCCCAUUCAAACCUUCUUCACUUGGCUCCAAACUCCACCAGUGACCUGUGUCAAGCAUGCCUUGCAUGGGAGACAACGUUUCCAGGUCGAAUGGACACCGUGGACACGCGUGGCCAUGGUGACCACGCUCUCAGCCUGCACUAAUGGUGCUGUGCACCAUUUCCUCGUCCCCUAGCUCAUGUCCCGCAGCUGCAGCACACCCCAGAGCGCCAGAGCACUCCCGCAUCCCUCCUUGACUUCCUCCACGACGAUAGCUAGCAUCCAAUGACCUCUGGGACGUGUGGCGCCCUUGCCCACGUGAGCUCCAGAGAGCUCCCGAGCUCUCUCGGCUCCUCCUCCCCUACUUAGAGCCUCCCGGGCACCUCUAGCUCCUCCAGAAACCUAUCCCCUCUCCCUUGGGCUCCCCCUGAGCUCCCCCUUGAGCCCCUUUUCCUCCCACGCUUCCUCCUCUCCUCCCAUGGCCGUCAUGGCCAGCUUCGGCCAUGACCGCGCCUGGGCUCUCUAGCCCCCUCUCUCCACCCCUAGCUCGUCCAGGAGGACCCCGAGGCCACCACGGAGCCGCCCCACUCCUCCUUUCCCCCUCUCAGUCGUCGGGGUGCCCUCCCCAUGACUGCCACCGUCGGCCUUCACCAUGGCAGGGAACUCCCUCGCCCGAGGCUCCCCUCGUGGAGCUGGCUUUUGCUCGGGUGGUGGAGGCUUUGCCUCGAGCCCCUGCUGGCCGGAGGGCCGUCGGAGAAUGGCUGGAGCCACCUGAGCCGGCCCCAUGCAUCGGCUGGCCCUUCCUUCUCGCGUGCCCAGAUCGGGCGGGAGGAAGAGGAAGGACCUGACAAGCGGGCCCCCCUGUAAGCCUCCCCAGCCCGGGCCCUUGGAGUAAGUGGUCGCGCCUGGCCUGCGGGCGUUUCUCUGUGCGGGAGGCAUAAACAGCGCUAGGCGCCACCUGCGUGGCCUCCUCCCUGCUAGACCGAGCCUUUGGGCCGGCCCAGGGACUGUCUAACGUGCAGAGCACUUGAUAGCCAAAUUUGGAGGCCCUCCUUUGCUUUUUCAUUGUCUAUGAACUUAAAAAAUCUUCCAUAAAUUCAUACUAACUCCAAAUUGCAUGAUUCAAAUUUCUGCAGGUUCCUAAUUUCAAGAUCUAUCCACACAUGUGCUUUGCACAUUUUUCCAAGACAUGUUUCUGUGGUGUUUGUCCCAAAAUCCAAAUCUGAAUAUUAUUGGCCCCAUCUUUCAAAAAUCCCAUAGGCUUCAAAUCAAUUCCAAAUGGAGUGAUUCAAACUCCCAGAGCCUUCUAAAAUCCUUCUCUAUUUUUAGAACCCUGGUCAACAUUUUUGUGUGACUUACUUCUGUUGCAAUAAAUAAAUAGCUCCUAUUGCUAUUUAUUCCUCAUUGUAAAAUCUCUAGAAUAUUCAUACCAUCUCCAAAUCCAGUGAAACCACUUCCUAAAUAUUUCUAAAAUCAUUCUCUGUUAAAUGGGUGCCUCCACUCAUUUUUAACAGAAUGAUUUCUGUUGGCUUAUUCAAUGGCCACCUAUUGCUCCUUUCACCUAUUCAAAAAUCCUUGAUGAUUCAAAUAUCCUGUGAGAAGCUUCAGGUAUUUUUCUUAUGACCAGAGAGGUCCAAGAAAAAUAAAACUUCUAUUUAUAGAACACUUUUAUUCUGCUGGAUGUGUGGCUUACUAUGGUUAUUUCCAACGUUAGUUGACGGUAGACGGAGUAUUUGGGGACGGAGCGGAAGACCUCGAAGACCACGAGGACUUACGUGAGCAAGGCAAGCAGCCUUUUGACCAUGACUUGAGCACAAAUAUUGUUGCACGCUAGAAUAGCCAGUACUUUUCCGUUGCAUGUGAUCACAGUGCCGGUUCAUCAUUGGUGUGAUGGUACCGAAGGCUUCAUCGAAGCACUUGCAUGAUGGUGAUGUUAUUCAUAUGGCUCCUCGGAUCACAAACAUGAUGAGCUUGACCCUACCAUUUGUGAGGAUCAUGCUACUGUCAUGUUGACUAGUAAAGUUAUAGGAUCAUUGCACUGAGCUUGACCCUACCCCUUGAGGGUCAUGCUAAUACCAUGUUGACAAGUAAAGAUAGAGCAUAUUAUCAUGAGCAUGAUGAUGAGUUCAAAUAAAAGUUUAUGAAAACCCCCCGUCGGGUGCCACUAAUGCCCGAGGGUGAUGAUGAGUUGGUGAUCACUUUUGGUGAAGUGAUGCACCGGUGUUUUUGUGUGAGUAUGGUUUCGGAAAUGGGAUUAGAUUUAUGAUGUGUCGACCGUCCCAACCUUACCAGUACGACCACGAUACCCCUUUAUGGGAUGGGGCUUUGUUGAUUACUCUGGUCGGUACUAGCAAAGAGCCACAUUACUAGUGGCGGGAGUGAUCGGUGUCACUCUCGUGAUGGGGUCGUGCCAGGUAGGACGACUAUGCCAUUAUUAUGAGUUCCAGGCACACCAUUGGUCCCCGCAUGGUUGAUACUGUCCAGAGUCGGUGCUCGUAAGACGUACAACAUGUGGGCUGGGUACCAAUCGAGUGGACCUCUUUGUCUAGUAUCGUCAGGGGAAAGAUGAUGAUCGGGUACUUACCUCGGGUAUAUGUGAUAUACCGCGAGUCGUGGAUGACACGGAAGUUUCCCGUUUCUCGUGGGUCCAGCAUACUACCUCUGCAGAGUGUCAAACGAUUCGAAUAGCCGUGUCCACGGUCAAGGACAGUUGGGUGGUGCUGCUUAAACUACGUCGAGCAUUUUCGCAUAAACCAAGUGUGUGUGGUGUUAAAAAGGUGUUGUUAUGAGAGUAAUAAUAUGACCAAGUUCGGUGACUUGGCAUAUAGGGUAAACCCGGAUGGUUUAGCCCUCAUUAAUACAUUGAGGCUAUGACAAGUCCGAUGACUUGGCAUAUAGGGUGAACCCGGAUGGUUCAACCCUUAGCAGAUAUGUUGAUAUCUGUAACCUGUUCCUCAAAAGUAAUUCUUUAGCUUGAUGCAUAUACAUGAUCAUUCCACCCAGAUGAGUUACACUAAAGAUGCAUGAUACUGUUAUCCUUCACUUUCAUUGUUCGUAUCAUGGGUUGUUUGCGAGUACAUUCAAAGUACUCAUUGGCUUGCCACUGGUUAUUUCAUUGACCAGGUGUGAAAGACAGGAUAUGGUGAAGAUUAACUCGGUGACGUUCUUGCGAGCUAGGACACUUCCCAGUCAGAAUGCCUGUAGGUUAAGGCUGAUGGCAUGGGUUCACGC